AGUGGCGGACGGGUGAGUAACGCGUGAGAAUCUGCCUUGGGGUCGGGGACAACCACUGGAAACGGUGGCUAAUACCGGAUAAGCCGAUUGGUGAAAGAUUUAUUGCCCGAAGAGGAGCUCGCGUCUGAUUAGCUAGUUGGUGAGGUAAGAGCUCACCAAGGCAGCGAUCAGUAGCUGGUCUGAGAGGACGAUCAGCCACACUGGGACUGGGACACGGCCCAGACUCCUACGGGAGGCAGCAGUGGGGAAUUUUCCGCAAUGGGCGAAAGCCUGACGGAGCAAGACCGCGUGAGGGAGGAAGGCUCUUGGGUUGUAAACCUCUUUUCUCAGGGAAGAAGCUCUGACGGUACCUGAGGAAUCAGCCUCGGCUAACUCCGUGCCAGCAGCCGCGGUAAUACGGAGGAGGCAAGCGUUAUCCGGAAUUAUUGGGCGUAAAGCGUCCGCAGGUGGCGAUUCAAGUCUGCUGUCAAAGCACGGGGCUUAACUCCGUAAAGGCAGUGGAAACUGAAUAGCUAGAGUGCCGUAGGGGUAGAGGGAAUUCCCGGUGUAGCGGUGAAAUGCGUAGAGAUCGGGAAGAACAUCGGUGGCGAAAGCGCUCUACUGGACGGCAACUGACACUCAGGGACGAAAGCUAGGGGAGCGAAUGGGAUUAGAUACCCC
rnacentral:rRNA from 1 species